rnacentral:rRNA from 1 species
GACGAACGCUGGCGGCGUGCCUAAUACAUGCAAGUAGAACGCUGAAGCUUGGUGCUUGCACCGAGCGGAUGAGUUGCGAACGGGUGAGUAACGCGUAGGUAACCUGCCUGGUAGCGGGGGAUAACUAUUGGAAACGAUAGCUAAUACCGCAUAACAGUAGAUAUCGCAUGAUAGCUACUUGAAAGGUGCAAAUGCACCACUACCAGAUGGACCUGCGUUGUAUUAGCUAGUUGGUGAGGUAACGGCUCACCAAGGCAACGAUACAUAGCCGACCUGAGAGGGUGAUCGGCCACACUGGGACUGAGACACGGCCCAGACUCCUACGGGAGGCAGCAGUAGGGAAUCUUCGGCAAUGGACGGAAGUCUGACCGAGCAACGCCGCGUGAGUGAAGAAGGUUUUCGGAUCGUAAAGCUCUGUUGUAAGAGAAGAACGAGUGUGAGAGUGGAAAGUUCACACUGUGACGGUAUCUUACCAGAAAGGGACGGCUAACUACGUG